GUAACGCGUAUGCAACCUACCUUUUACUGGGGUAUAGCCCGGAGAAAUCCGGAUUAAUCCCCCAUAGUACUGAAAAUUCGCAUGAAUAAUCAGUUAAAGUUUCGGCGGUAAAAGAUGGGCAUGCGUCCUAUUAGCUAGAUGGUAAGGUAACGGCUUACCAUGGCGACGAUAGAUAGGGGCCCUGAGAGGGGGAUCCCCCACACUGGUACUGAGACACGGACCAGACUCC
rnacentral:rRNA from 1 species